rnacentral:lncRNA from 1 species
CUGCUCUGCUUGUCAAUAAUGCUUCAUUCCAACUACGAAGCACCCGGGUCUCACUAUGAGCCAUCAAUUUACUUAAUUGUUUAAUUCUAUUAUUCAUAUAUAGUGACUUCAAAAUUAACUUGUACCUCUGUGAGAAAGAGCUUUAUCAAUUAGAGCACAGUGCUUAUGUGUAGUUUCUUUUCCCUUUAAACAUGCAAUUUCCAGUCAUUUCCAAAGUUUCUUAGCUCAGAACUUUCUCUUCUGUCCUCACAGACGAGGUUAUUUAAUGUAUUUUAAUACAGUAAGACUGUUGUGUCACAGUCUGCAUUCCAUUCUAGGAUCCUCCCAACCUCAUAAAUGAUUUUUAAAUUUAAAUUUACAUACAUUAAGAUCUACUCUACGGUUGUGAAUUACCAUGAGUUUAGACAAAUGCAGAGUGUCAUAUAUCCAGCAUUACAGAGUCAUAUAUCAUAGCUUAACCAUUCUAAAAAAUCCCCCUUCCACAAAACCCUGACAACCACUGAUCUGUUUACCAACUUUAUAGUUUACCUUUCCAGAAUAUCAUAAAAAUGAACUGUGGGAGUUUCAGACUGACUUCUUUCGGCUAGCAAUAUGUGUUUAAACUCAUCCACAUUUUUGUGGGGCUUCAUGGCUUCUUCUUUUCUGUCACUGAAUAUUGUUCCAUUGUGUGGAUGUCCCACAAUUUCUCCAUUUUCCUGUGGAAGGACAGCUUGGUUACUUCCGGUAUUUUGUGACUGUGAGUAAAACUACUAUGAACAUUCAUGUGCUGGUUUUUCUGUGGACAUGAGUUUUAAAUCAUUGUGUUGGUGCCUGGGAGUGCCAUUGCCGGAUGGCAGUAAGACUGCUUGCCUUUGUAAGAAGUGCCAGGCUGCCCGUCAAACGGGUGCACCGUUUACCUCCCCAACAGCGAACGGGAGUGUGUUACUCUGCAUCCUUGCCAGCAAUUCGUAUUGUCAGCUUUUUGUAUCGCAGCCGUUCUGACAUCUCUGUAGAGGUGUAUUUGGGGAGGGGCUCUGGAGUCCGAAUAGCUGGGAUCAGUCGUGGAUGCCGCCUGUGUGCCUAAGCUCCAGCAAAGCCCAAGACGCCAGGCUCAGGGGAGGUCCCAGUGGGCUGACAUCACAGCCCUUGGGUACAAAGAGCAAGGAUGCCUUAGUGCUGACAUCAGCAGUGUUAAUGUAGACAACUGAACUGUUCCCGAGGCUCCCAGGCGCGGGCGCCGCCCCGACGAGCCGGGCCGUGUCCAGGCCGCUCUGGGACAGGGUUAAGGGUUAACGGAAGAGCGGCCUGGACACGGCCCGGCUCGACGGGCGGCGCGCGCGCCUGGGGAGCCUCGGGAACCCGCCGAGGCCUGAGCUCUCCGUUUCCUGGGUCCCGAGCUCCCUGAGAAUCCCAUGGGUGCUGUGCACUCUGACGUCACACUCACAUCUGUAACGGGGCGGCAAGUGCGGUUCCGCAGACUGCAGAGGUCUCUCCUAUGAGAACAGAUGAGAAGUCGGCAGUGCAGAGCAGGCGGCAGCGUCUGGAGACUGUGCGACCGGGCGCGGGAAGCCGUGGGCCCUGCAGCCUGAGGACGCCACGCUGAAGGGGGCUGUGGGCAAUGAAGCCGCUUCUGUGAGACAAAUGCAAAUCCAAGCUUGGUUGCAUACCAGAUUCGUCUGUGGAGCCCGCACUCCAGACCUCCUGAAUCAACAUUUCCUGGAUGAGGCUCAGGUACAAACAUUUUCACAAAGACCCACAGACGAUUCAGAUCUGUAAAGAGGAACGAAUUCAUCCAGUGUGUUGCCACAGAGCACACCCUUUGGAGUCGCAUCCCUCCGGGCUCUGAGACAGGCUUCUCCACUCUGCCAAGCGAAAGCUGCUCUGGGCUCAGUGUCCUCAACUGAAUUCUGAGUCAAAGUUCGGAGCACCUCUAAGUAUCUUGACAUAUAUUAUUACAUUGCUUUUCGGGAAACUUCCAUGAAUUUAUGUAUCUACCAGCCAUGUGUGAGAAUGCCUGCUUCACUUCAUGCUCAACUACAGAAUCCAUUAAAUUGAACUGGCAAACUGUAUCUGCGAAGGUCGGCACUGAGCUCUUCUCAGCACGAACACGGACGUGAUCAUGGAGGUGACAAGGGCUCUUGAAAAUGUGAGAUUAACCACUUGGUGUUUAGAAAGGGUUUGUAAUUCACAUAAUUAUUGGAACUUCUGAAGGACGAAGGACGUAAGCAGACCAGAGCCUUGAUGAUGUCUGCUCUCUGAAGUUCUUAUUGCUGAAAUCUAAGAAGCCGGAGAAGGGUGGUCUCAAUAUAUUGAGUUUGUAACACAUUACGCUCUUGGAGAUUCAGACUUGGAAUUCAAACUCUACUUGACAUUUCUGAACUUCAUUAAAUUCACGACCAGUCGGAACAUCCUUUAGAACAGAACAUUUCCACUGAGUCCGUAGGAGACUGUUUUCGUUUGGUAUUUGGGACUCAAUUACUUCGGAAGGACGUUUGCCCAUAGAAGUUGACUGAUUCAUUCAUGUUCUGUCCUCAAAGAUAUCGUAGCUUAAAAAAGUGAACUCCAUUCCCACUUCUUGUUGUUUAUUAAAUGCUCUUCAUCAUUAAACUUGUAUUUCUG